rnacentral:rRNA from 1 species
UACGUAGGUGGCAAGCGUUGUCCGGAAUUACUGGGUGUAAAGCGCGUGUAGGCGGCAGACCAAGUCGGCGGUGAAAGCGCCCGGCUCAACUGAGCGAGGUCCGUGGAAACUGGUCAGCUGGAGGACGGUAGAGGCGAGUGGAAUUCCCGGUGUAGUGGUGAAAUGCGUAGAGAUCGGGAGGAACACCUGUGGCGAAGGCGGCUCACUGGGCCGGUACUGACGCUGAGGUGCGAAAGCGUGGGGAGCAAACAGG